AUUGAACGCUGGCGGCAGGCCUAACACAUGCGAGUCGAACGGUAACAGGAAGCAGCUUGCUGUUUCGCUGACGAGUGGCGGACGGGUGAGUAAUGUCUGGGAAACUGCCUGAUGGAGGGGGAUAACUACUGGAAACGGUAGCUAAUACCGCAUAACGUCGCAAGACCAAAGAGGGGGACCCUCGGGCCUCUUGCCAUCGGAUGUCCCAGAUGGGAUUAGCUUGUUGGUGGGGUAACGGCUCACCAAGGCGACGAUCCCUAGCUGGUCUGAGAGGAUGACCAGCCACACUGGAACUGAGACACGGUCCAGACUCCUACGGGAGGCAGCAGUGGGGAAUAUUGCACAAUGGGCGCAAGCCUGAUGCAGCCAUGCCGCGUGUAUGAAGAAGGCCUUCGGGUUGUAAAGUACUUUCAGCGGGGAGGAAGGGAGUAAAGUUAAUACCUUUGCUCAUUGACGUUACCCGCAGAAGAAGCACCGGCUAACUCCGUG
rnacentral:rRNA from 1 species